rnacentral:rRNA from 1 species
UCGAAUGGGGAGAUUCAUCGUCAGCGAUUCCGGUACGUGUGCGGCUCGCGAUGUCCGAGACUUCGGUCUCGCGGCACGCGUCCGCAUGUUUUUUAUUGCUGGAAUCGUCGGCGUGCACUUCUCCCCUAGUAGGACGUCGCGACCCGUUGGGUGUCGGUCUACGGCACGGUAGGUAGCCUGUCACGUGUGCGCUUCACGGCGUUACGCGGGGCAGACCUCCGUUCGCCCGACCGGCUGCUCGGCGGUACUCGCAAGGUAUCUGGCCGCAGACAUACGAACUGCGUCCGGCCCGUCGCAAGCGCGGCAAGUGUUUCCCGGCUGUCACGGAUCUAAUGCCGUCACCGGGCCUUGCCAGCUGUUGGUUGACGGUGUCCUAGGACUGGCUAACAAWWAAUUAUGAUACCGGUCGGCGACSCUACUGCUUUGGGUACUUUCAGGACCCGUCUUGAAACACGGACCAAGGAGUCUAACAUGUGCGCGAGUCAUUGGGAGCUAUUAAGCCUAAAGGCGCAAUGAAAGUGAAGAUCGGCCUCGCGCCGAUCGAGGGAGGAUGGACCGCGUCACGAUGCGGUCCCGCACUCCCGGGGCGUCUCGUUCUCAUUGCGAGAAGAGGCGCACCCAGAGCGUACACGUUGG